rnacentral:tRNA from 2 species
ACAGGAAGUGUGCCCGAAAUUAAGGGCUACUUUGAUAGAGUACGCUACAGAGGUUAAAACCCUCUCACUUCCC